AGCACCAAAACAUCAUGUUAUACAACAAAUUUGACAGAAAAAGUAGUUCAAUACGUAGUAAUGCUAUGUAGUAAUUACUGUAUUUACGAAUUUAGCACCAGAAUAUCACGAUGUAUUGAAAACAUUGACUACAAAAAUGCGUUGGAUAAUCCAGAACGUUGGAUAAGUGAGUGUUGGAUAAGUGAGACUCUACUGUAAUAAUAAUAAUAAUAAUGUUAUUACUGGCCUCUCCUCACAUGUUGAGGUGAGGUACAAAAAAGGCAGCUAACUCGGCAUCCUGUUUUCCAUCACAGACUCAUGGUGCAUCUAUACUGCAAAAUUAACACAGUUUGACCCCGUUUGAAUUGCCAUGGCUCAUUGAUAUGGAGUUUAGGGCCGUGUCCUUUGGCGUGGCACAAAACUCUUUGGAAGGCUGGGCAACCUUGUAAAACCAACCCCAGGAUUCCAUAGCAUGGAGCCCUGGCAGUUCAAGCAAGACCAAACUGCGUUAAUUCCGCAGUAUAGAUGCACCCUGAGUCUAUGAUGUAUCGGGCCACAAGGUGGCUCCAGACCCAAACUCAGCCAGAAGGACAGGAUUUCAGCACUAACUAGUUAAUUGAUCCUAGCAUGGCUUUUCGUGCAUAAUAAUUAGUUUUUUAUUAUGAGAUGCAUAAAUAAUAAUAUCCAGUAUGUAUGUCUCCGUUAAAGCAUUACAACUCCCAGGGUGACGUAGUAUUCAGCUAGGGCAAUUAAAGUGGUAUUAAAGUGCAAUUCAUUCUGUGGUGUUUGGAAAUAUUUGGAAAGAUGUCUCAACCAUAUCUAUGGCUGGAUGGCCAUCUGUUAGGAGGGCUUGGAUGGUGUCUCUGCAUGACAUGAAUGGGGUUGGACUGGAUGGCACUUAGGGUCUCUUCCAACUCUAGGAUUCUGUGAUGUUUCUUACAUCUCUCUCAGUCAUAUAUUUCUCAAUCAUACUGUAUCUAUGGCUGGUUGGCCAUCUGUCAGGAGGGCUUGGAUGGUGUCUCUCUGCAUGACAAUAAUGGGGUUGGACUGGAUGGCUCUUGGGGUCAAGGUUCUGUGAUGUUUCUAUCAUCUCUCUCUUUCAGUCAUAUAUUUCUCAAUCAUACUGUAUCUAUGGCUGGAAGGCCAUCUGUCAGGAGGGCUUGGAUGGUGUCUCUCCCGACAAUUGACUGGGACCAAACUUAGCACAGAGAAGCCCCAUGACCAACUGAACAUACUGCAGGGGUUUCUGGGAGUGGGCCUUGAUUUUGGGAGUUAGUCAGAUCCGGACCAAACUUGGCACACAGACCCAACUUGGCCAAUUGCAUACAGGCCUGCUUUGGGGGUGGUUGACCUCAGCUCUGGGAGUUGUAGUUCACCCUUAUCCAGAGAGCCCUGAAACCAGCUGAUGACGGAUCUGGACCAAACUCGCCACACAGACCCAACAUGGCCAACUGCAAAUAAUGGCAGGAUUAGGGGGUGAUUGCCCUAGUAAUCUGGGAGUUGGAGUUCACCCUUAUCCAGACUGAACCCAGCUAGUGACAGAUCUGGAUCAAACUUAAAUGACAAUGUCUAACAUCCCAAAACAAACAGUGCCUUCUUCUAAUAACCCAGGCACCGCCAGGUCCCCAAGUUAGUCUAUUUAUACAUUUAUACAUUUAUAGUUCCCAGUGCUGAGGAGCACCAAGUCAUUCCCUCCCAGGACAUUGCAGGUUACAGCGAGCACAUCCCAGCAUUCCUUUCUCUCUCAUUUGCAUGACUCCGCCUACUGCCUCUCCCUUAACCCUUUCCUACCCUUUCCCAUGGCACGCUGCAAACAGAAGAACUGAUCGGCAACUGAACAUACUAGAGAGAGAGGUUUGGGGAGAAUUCACCAUUGUUAUAGGAGUUGUAGGGACUGGGAUGUAUAGUUCACCUGCAAUCUAAGAGUAUUCUGAAGCACACCAACGAUGGACCUGCAAGUAACUUGGCACUCAGGCCCAAUAUGGCCAACUUUGCAUACUGGUGGGGUUGGGCGUGAUUGACCCUGACAUCCAGGAGUUAUAGUUCUCCCGUAUCCAGAAUAUACUGAAUCUGGACCAAACUUGGCACACAAAUUCAACAUGACCAAACUGGGAAUACUGUUGGAUUUUGGGGGUGAUUGACCUUUAACUCUGGGAGUUAUAGUUCACCUGUGUUCCGUGAGCCCUCUGAACCCUACCAAUGAUGGAUCUGGACCAAACUUGGCACACAGACCCAAAGCUGCCAACUUGGGGGGAUUGACCUUGGCAUCGGAGAGUUAUAGUUCACCCGUAUUCAGAGAACACUGAUCCCAGCAAGUGAUGGAUCCGGACCAAACUUGGCACACAGACCCAACAUAGCCAAGUGUGCAUACUGGCACGAUGUCGGGGUGAUUUCCCUAGGAAUCUGGGAGUUGUAGUUUGUUAAUGUGGGAUUUGUGUAUUAGUAGUGUUUAAAUGAAAUUUGUAUCUAGCAUGUAUUGCAUCAUCCAGGAAAUGCUAUAGUGUGUAAAGAGUUAAUUUGGUAAGAAGCUGUAUUGACCUUGGAUAUGUGGCUGGAGCCAGAUAGGAGUGUCCAGACUCAAGUGUGUUUGUACAUUACUGAUUGAGUCAGUUGAGAUCUUGCUCUGUUCUGAGUUUGUGUCUGCCUAGAGUGAAAGCCAAGCCUGUAUUCAUCUGCAAUUCUGUUUUGUCUUGUAUAGUAAAACUUUGUAUAUAUUUUUAACAUUGUUUCUGACGUCUCUUCAUUCUGCGCUCCAUUGACAACAUACAACUGCUGCUACGCUGCGAAUUACUCUGACAUAGUUCACCCUUAUCCAGAGAACACUGAAUCCAGAAGAUGAUGGCUCUGAACCAAAUUUGGCAUACAGACCCAACAUGGCCAACUGGGGGAGUUUGGGAAGGAUUGACCCAAGAUUUUUGGGAAUUGUAGUUCACCCACACCCUUACGCAUUUUCUAGUGGGAUCAUUCAUAAAAAACAAAAGCAAAGACUGGCAUUUUUCUAACGAAUAGUGCAACGUAUGACCAAACUGAUAUGACAUAACAUCCAAAAACAAAUAAUUUCAAAUAACUUGGGCACCGCUGGGUCAUAACAAAUAGUGUAACGUAUGACCAAACUGAUAUCACCUAACGUAUCACCAAACUGAUGUGACAUAAUAUCAAAAAUAAAUAAUUUCCAAUAACUCGAGCACCGCUGGGUAGUAACAAAUAGCACAUUGUAUGACCAGACUGAUAUGACCUAACAUCCAAAAACAAAUAUUUUCCAAUAAUUUGGGCACCACUGGGUAGUAACAUGUAGCGUAACGUAUGACCAAAGUGAUAUGACCUAACAUCCAAAAACAAACUAUUUCCAAUUACUUGGGCACCGCUGGAUAGUAACAAAUAGAGCAACAUAUGGCCACACUGAUAUGACCUAGCAUCCAAAAACAAAUAAUAAGUCUUGCACACCUUGCCCCACCUGGACCUUAUCCAGAAACAUUAUUGCACAGGUAAGUAGGAAAGGUGGGCGGAUUCACCUAUAAAACCCAGCUGCCUUUGCCCAGAUAAGUCUUUGCAUGCAUUCACCAUUGAAGGAACAUGGGUUGCGUCAUCCGCGAAGCCACCAUAGAGGACUGCAAACACAUUAUGAGCUUGAUACAGGAAAUUGCUGCUUAUCAUCACUUAGAGGAUGACAUAAAAAUAAAUUUAGAAGUUUUAAAAGCAGACGGCUUUGGCGCAAACCCCUUCUUCAAAUGCUUACUGGCUGAAUGGCCUGCAGAAAAUGGAAAUAAACCAGGUUGCCCCAUCGGCUAUACCAUCUACUAUUUCGGGUACAGUGUGGACCGUGGUCGGAUCCUCUAUAUGGAAAACCUGUACGUUGUGCCUGAAUUCAGAAGCAAAGGAAUUGGGAUGGAAUUGAUGAAGAAACUCGCAGAGAUCGCUCUGGCUGCCGGCUGCAUGGAAAUCAAAUUCCUGGUGAUGGGAUGGAACCAAAGGGCCAAGGACUUCUAUGAAUGGGCGGGCGCCCACGAUACUACAGAGUCCAAGCAAUGGCACUGCAUGGAAGUGGACUGGGACAGCUUGCAAAGGCUGGCUGGGCCUUGACGGGAAUCCAAGGCCUAUGGGGAUGAUGGGAUCUGCAGUCCAAAUAGGGACUACAACUCCCAGAAUCCCGGCCAUGCUGUGGGAUCCUGGGAAUAGUACCACUCAUUUCUAUGGCUCAGUGCAAUUGGAUCUUGGGAGUUAUAUUUUGCAGAGGCAUCAGCCCUCAAGACCUCUGGCAAACUACAAUUCCCAGAAUCCCAUGCCACCACUUGAACUGCCAUGGCUCCCGGCUCCGUGCUGUGGGAUCCUGGGAGUUGUAGUUUGCCAGAGGUCUUGAGGGUUGGCACCCCUGCAAACUGUAACUCCCAAGCUCCAAUUGCAUUGAGCCAUAGAGAUUAAAGUGGUGCCAAACUGCAUUAAUUCCACAGUGUAGACCAGGCAUGGGCCAACUUGGGCCUUCCCU